rnacentral:rRNA from 1 species
GCAGUGGACGCACUUUACUUCCCGGAGCUUGCUCCACCGAAGCAAAGUGAGUCGCGAACGGGUGAGUAACGCGUAGGUAACCUGCCUCGUAGCGGGGGAUAACUAUUGGAAACGAUAGCUAAUACCGCAUAAUAGUGUCUGACACAUGUUAGAGAUUUGAAAGGUGCAAUUGCACCACUACGAGAUGGACCUGCGUUGUAUUAGCUAGUAGGUAGGGUAACGGCCUACCUAGGCAACGAUACAUAGCCGACCUGAGAGGGUGAUCGGCCACACUGGGACUGAGACACGGCCCAGACUCCUACGGGAGGCAGCAGUAGGGAAUCUUCGGCAAUGGGGGGAACCCUGACCGAGCAACGCCGCGUGAGUGAAGAAGGUUUUCGGAUCGUAAAGCUCUGUUGUAAGAGAAGAACGAGUUUGAGAGUGGAAAGCUCAGACUGUGACGGUAUCUUACCAGAAAGGGACGGCUAACUACGUGCCAGCAGCCGCGGUAAUACGUAGGUCCCGAGCGUUGUCCGGAUUUAUUGGGCGUAAAGCGAGCGCAGGCGGUUGUAUAAGUCAGAAGUAAAAGGCAGUGGCUCAACCAUUGUGUGCUUUUGAAACUGUACAACUUGAGUGCAGAAGGGGAGAGUGGAAUCCCAUGUGUAGCGGUGAAAUGCGUAGAUAUAUGGAGGAACACCGGUGGCGAAAGCGGCUCUCUGGUCUGUAACUGACGCUGAGGCUCGAAAGCGUGGGGAGCGAACAGGAUUAGAUACCCUGGUAGUCCACGCCGUAAACGAUGAGUGCUAGGUGUUGGGUCCUUUCCGGGAC